UACGGAGGGUGCAAACGUUGUUCGGAAUCACUGGGCAUAAAGCGUACGUAGGCGGCGCCGUAAGUGUCGGAUGAAAUCCCACGGCUUACCCGUGGAACGGUCCGGCAUACUGCGGUGCUAGAGGAUGGUAGAGGAGAGCGGAACUCUUGGUGGAGCGGUGAAAUGCGUAGAUAUCAAGAGGAACACCGGUGGCGAAGGCGGCUCUCUGGUCCAUGUCUGACGCUGAGGUACGAAAGCCAGGGGAGCAAACGGG
rnacentral:rRNA from 1 species